rnacentral:tRNA from 1 species
AUCUUCUUAGUAUACUUAGUACAAGUGACUUCCAAUCAUUAAAACUCGGUUAAAUCCCGAGAGAAGAUA